UACGUAGGGUGCGAGCGUUAAUCGGAAUUACUGGGCGUAAAGUGUGCGCAGGUGGCCGCGCAAGUCGAGUGUGAAAUCCCCGAGCUUAACUUGGGAAUUGCGCUCGAAACUACGUGGCUCGAGUGUGGCAGAGGAAGGUGGAAUUCCACGUGUAGCGGUGAAAUGCGUAGAGAUGUGGGGGAACACCGAUGGCGAAGGCAGCCUUCUGGGCCAACACUGACGCUCAUGCACGAAAGCGUGGGGAGCAAACAGG
rnacentral:rRNA from 1 species